GAUGAACGCUGACAGAAUGCUUAACACAUGCAAGUCAACUUGAAUUUGGGUUUUUAACUUAGGUUUGGGUGGCGGACGGGUGAGUAACGCGUAAAGAACUUGCCUCACAGCUAGGGACAACAUUUGGAAACGAAUGCUAAUACCUAAUAUUAUGAUAAUAGGGCAUCCUAUAAUUAUGAAAGCUAUAAGCGCUGCGAGAGAGCUUUGCGUCCCAUUAGCUAGUUGGAGAGGUAACGGCUCACCAAGGCGAUGAUGGGUAGCCGGCCUGAGAGGGUGAUCGGCCACAAGGGGACUGAGACACGGCCCUUACUCCUACGGGAGGCAGCAGUGGGGAAUAUUGGACAAUGGACCAAGAGUCUGAUCCAGCAAUUCUGUGUGCACGAUGAAGUUUUUCGGAAUGUAAAGUGCUUUCAGUUGGGAAGAAAGAAAUGACGGUACCAACAGAAGAAGUGACGGCUAAAUACGUGCCAGCAGCCGCGGUAAUACGUAUGUCACGAGCGUUAUCCGGAUUUAUUGGGCGUAAAGCGCGUCUAGGUGGUUAUGUAAGUCUGAUGUGAAAAUGCAGGGCUCAACUCUGUAUUGCGUUGGAAACUGUAUAACUAGAGUACUGGAGAGGUAAGCGGAACUACAAGUGUAGAGGUGAAAUUCGUAGAUAUUUGUAGGAAUGCCGAUGGGGAAGCCAGCUUACUGGACAGAUACUGACGCUGAAGCGCGAAAGCGUGGGUAGCAAACAGG
rnacentral:rRNA from 1 species